UUCCUCGCUGAAACCCUUCCCUUGACCUCUGUGACUCCUCAGGCUGGGUUAGCUCCUUCCUGUUCCGUUUCUGCUUCCUCCACAGUCAGUUUCUCUCCUGGGCUCUGCUGUGUGUGACCCUUGAGUGACCUCCGCCGUCCACCAUGUUAACACCUGGUUGGCGAAACAAGACUUCCAUCUGAGGCACUGCCCUGAGAAGGCUUCUCCUGCCCCCCCGUGGUGCGGCUGUGUACCCCUCUGUGCCCCUCGCUGGCAUCACUGCUUGUCUGCCUCUCCCGUAACGGGCAGGCCGAGUUUAUCACUGACCACCAUGCCUGGCACAGGACUGGUGCCCAGAAACGCAGAAGUGAUCCUCCCCCCAACUUUGUGAUAAGGACACAACUCCAUUAUCUCCAUGGAAGAAACACGGGACGCGAACACAGGCUCACGGAACUUCAGGGAGCCAGCAGAGACGUGCGUGCAUUCGUGCUGGACCGCGUCGC